CCUACCUACGGGGCGCAGCAGUGAGGAAUAUUGGUCAAUGGCCGGAAGGCUGAACCAGCCAAGUCGCGUGAGGGACGACUGCCCUAUGGGUUGUAAACCUCUUUUAUAAGGGAAGAAUAAAUGCUACGUGUAGCAUGAUGCCUGUACCUUAUGAAUAAGCAUCGGCUAACUCCGUGCCAGCAGCCGCGGUAAUACGGAGGAUGCGAGCGUUAUCCGGAUUUAUUGGGUUUAAAUGGUGCGUAGGCGGUUUUUUAAGUUAGGGGUUAAACGUCGGGGCUUCCCCUUGAUUUGGCAUUAAU
rnacentral:rRNA from 1 species